CCUACGGGAGGCAGCAGUGGGGAAUAUUGCACAAUGGGGGAAACCCUGAUGCAGCAACGCCGCGUGAGUGAUGACGGCCUUCGGGUUGUAAAGCUCUGUCUUCAGGGACGAUAAUGACGGUACCUGAGGAGGAAGCAACGGCUAACUACGUGACAGCAACCGCGGUAAUACGUAGGUGGCAGGCGUUGUCCGGAUUUACUGGGCGUAAAGGGAGCGUGGGCGGACUUUUAAGUGAGAUGUGAAAUACCCGGGCUUAACUUGGGUGCUGCAUUUAAAACUGGUGCUCUAGAGUGCAGAAGGGGAGAAUGGAAUUCCUGGUGUAGCGGUGAAAUGCGUAGAGAUUAGGAAGAACACCAGUGGCGAAGGCGAUUCUCUGGACUGUAACUGACGCUGAGGCUCGAAAGCGUGGGGAGCAAACAGGAUUAGAUACCCGGGUAGUC
rnacentral:rRNA from 1 species